CCAACAACAUGAUAAUAUAUCCUUUUUAUUCACAUUUGAAGCCUGGAGGAACCUCCUUCUGACAUGCACUAAGGAUUAGACUAAGAGAAACUGGGAUGUUGAGGUUGAUUCCAAGUACAUUGGCUUUAAUGGCAGUGCAAAGGCAAAGGGCAGCUUCCAAAUCAGCCAACCCUUGAAGCAAAGCACAGCAUUUGCUGGAAGGAGGGGUUCCAACAAUCACGUUGACAAGUCCAAGCACGUCAGCACAAACACCGAGCUUCAAUGUGUCCUUAGGGCAAGAAGCAGGGGUUGCUGGUGGAGGGCAUGGUGCAGGUUUGGGUUUGCAUGAAUUGCAAGCAGUGGUGAAUGUUGAGUGGAAAAGAAGAGUGAAGAGCAGAAAGAGGGCACAGAGUUUGUAGGAAGCCAUUGCAGGCAGGCAGGCAGAAGCAGAAGUGAACUGUAGAUAUGGAAGGAGCCGGUGGGUAAGUGUAGCACCAGAAGUAGCUUUUUUAAAGGAAAUUUGUGAGGUGGUUGUUUAAGGGAAUCUGAUUGAGUGGAAGAGAGUGAAAAUGGAUGAUAUAAUGUAGCAGUUGGAUUUUGUUUUAUUUUUGUAAGCUUGUGGGUAAUGAAAUAUAUGUACAGGUUUUCAGUCAAAUGGAAAAAUAUGCGUUCAUUAGCGGGGCUCUAAGUGGACGCAAAUACUGUACUGUAGAUUUUACUCUUUCUUCCUUUUAUUUUCAUAUACCAAAUUGGUGAGAAAUCCAAAGAGUAAAUUAAAGUACAGUAUUCUCUCUUCUGUGGAUUCAGCAGUGUACAGUUUGAAUUGUUGUGAAAUUCUGUUGCUUAUUUUUACCUCUCGGAUUAUAUAAAAUUAUGAUUUUACGUUUUCCUUUUUCCUUUUUAAUAGGAUGAUGAAAAAUUAAAUUUUUUCUCUUAAUUUUUAGCUUUUUCCUCUUAAAAGAAUUCAAAUCUAACUAAAAAUACUAAAAAUCAGGAGAAAAAAUCUAAUUUGUUAUUUUUCUAUUGGAAAUGGAUAGAUAUUACGUGGAAUCAUAGUUUCAUACAAUUCAUUCUCCUCUCCUAGAGGUGCUGAUGGUUGGCUCUAAUCAUUAUAUUAAUAUAUUUUAUGUUUGUUUAAAUUCGACCCGGUUUGAAAUAUGAGUUUAAGAUAUUAUCUAAAUCUGUCCAUAUUUGCAAAAGAUUAAUUCAAACCCAUUUUUAAAUUUUUUUAAAAUAUGUGUUUAUAUUAUUUUAUUUUAAUAUUUGAUAAUUUUAUAUAUUUUUAUUUAUUAAAAUUUUUUAUAGUCAUUUUAACAGUAUUUUAAUAUUUAUAUUAGAGUAGUAUUAUAUAUUCAGUAUAAAUUAAUUUUUUAAUAUGUUCUAAAUUACAUAAUAUAUAAAAAUAACGUAAAUAUUAAAUAUUAUAAACUUAAAAACGGGUCGGACCUAGCUCGGGCUUUAAAUGUUUAAGCCCGAGUCCAAUUCAUAUUUUAAAUAGGCCUAAUUUUUUUAUCCAAGCCCAUUUCUCGAACCUAAUAUUUUUACCCAAACCUUUUCAAAUUUUAGACAAACCUUCGAACCUAGACAAAUAACCCACCCAUAAAUAUAUUGCAUUCAUGAAUGUUCCAUUAAAUUUAAUUAUUUUACAUUCUAAAAUAAUAGUAUGAUGUUUGUAUGAUAAUUAUUUUGAGUCGGUAAGGGGUGAUAUCAUAUCUUCUUCAAAUGAUUUUAGUUUAGGCUGUGUUUGAUAGGGGGAAAACCAAUUCCAGAAUUGGUUUUACAGGUUUUCCAGUGUUUGAUAGCAGGAAAAUAUUUUCCUUUUGUAAAACCAAUUCCGCAACACGAGAAAACCUCUUACAAAUUUGAGGAAAAUGUCUUACGCUUUUAAACUCGGUAAGACAUUUUCCGGAAAAUGUCUUACGCUUUUAAACUCGAUAAGACAUUUUCCGAAAAAUGACGCCUUCUUCUCCCCUUUAACCUUUCCCUUCCCCUUCCCUUCUCCCUUCCCCUUGUGUUGCAAAUCAAUUUGGUCAAGGACUUCUUCCGAUUCCUCCUUAAUCCAGGUAAGGCUCCUUCUUCUUCUUCUUCCAUUCUUCAUUCCUUUUUCUUCUUCUGUUCUUCAUCUUCUCUUCUCAACAUAUUCUGUUUUGUUUCCUCUCUUUCUCUCUUUCUCAGGCAAAUUUACCAUGAAUUCUUCGCCGGGUCUUGGCUUAAGGGAUAUCUGAUGGAUUUCAAAAGUUGUUGAAGAUUGAAGAUUGAAGAUGACCAAGGUUCUGCUCAAGGGAUAUCUGAUGGAUUUCAAAAGUUUUACUCUGAUAGAUUUGAUCUUUCUUCUUAGGAAAAAGAAUGUAAAAACUUUGGUCCUCAGGUAAUAAUUGAUUUCUGUCUUCCCCAUCUAAUCUGGAAAUAGUACCGUGUAUAUUAGGAGAUAAAAUAUGCAUGUUUCAAUCUUUUUUUCUUUUGGCAGAAAGAUGGCGAUGGUGAUGGAUGCAGUAAUUUCCUUCAACAGCUGCCUGGAUCUCUGUCGGGGGUUCAGUCAUAUGAAGGUUUUGCUAAAAAUAUUGGCGGAGAUGCAAAUGCUCCAGUUCAUAGCAUGACACAUGAGGUAUGAAAAGAUUUGAAGUAGCCCUGAUUUAGAGAGAUAAAAAAUAUAUCACUGAAUUUCUCUUUAAACUCCCCUAACCCUUCAAUUGUGAUUGUUAAAUGCUGCCAUCAUCUUACUAGGUAAUCAUUUUGGAUUUGGUUUUAGCUAUUACACAAGCUUCUGAAUAUAAAAUGCUAACAUCACACAACUUACUUUUGUUUUUGAUAAAUCACACAAAUUACUAUCAAAUGAAUAUACAAGGGAACAUCUUUGUGGCCAAUGUCUAAUCCCUUGCUCAAAUUACCAGUGAUGCCAUGGACUUGUGAUAGUUCACUAUUUGUCUGCUAAGUGAGCAGAUAUGGAAGAGAGCAAAGCUCUUCCCCAAAACGUAGAUGGAUAGGAUAAGAUGUGGACUAGGGUAAUCUUUUAUAUGAAACAGAGUAUUCAUUGAUGGUUUAUUGCAUUGCCUAUAGUGAGAUUCAUAGGCAUCUUCACUAAAUGCAUAUCAUAUGAUAACCAGUUGGGUUUGGGUUAAGUCUAGAACUAUUUUCUACUUUUGCUUUGUGUAUUUUUUGGCUAGGAUGAGUUGUACAGGGCAAGUAAAACAAAUCUUUAGCUUCUGAAAAUUCCCUAUUUCUUUUUCUGAAGAAUUUUGUCAGCUCUACUUGAUUGUACCAAAGCAUUAAACUUGUAUAAAUAUGUGAAGCAAUGCCCCUAGAAAUGUGCAGAUGUUACUAUUAGCUAGUAGCUGCACUUCCUUAGAGUCUUCUAUUAGAUGUUUUCGUACCAAAGUUCAGCAGUAUAACAGUCUGACGCCAUAUAUUUAUUUAACUAAAAUAUGGCUUGUGAUAUUUUGCUGCAUUUGAGGUAAUGUUCUUAAUAACAUUAAGAAAAUGAUAGUAAUUAUCCCCUUUCUUUUUAAUGCAUAUUUAAAUGGAAAUGGUUUUUUGUGAUCAAGAUGAAAAGAAUGGAGCACAUAUUUCGAAGUGGCUAAGGUUAUCCAUUAGAAUGUAUGGAAGUUUUAAAGGAAAGGAUUAAACAAAUUAUACCAAAUGAUAUAACCCCUAAAUGAUAUAAUCCAGUUUGCAGCCUAAGUGGACAAUACCUCUGUCAAAAGUUCUAAAAGCAAGUUUGCAGCCUCUUUCUUCUACAGAAGGAGGAGUGCAGUUAAAAUUGUGAAUGAGAGGUUUAUAUUUGAUCGAUUUCUGUCUUUUUCUUCUAUAAUUUCCUGGCCGUAUGAUGCGGGGAACCUUAUUGAACCCCAUAUUCUUUUAGGGAAAUAUAGUCAUUUUUCUCAUGUUGUACUAGCUGAACUGUAUUGUUCUUUUAUAUAUGUGCUGCUAUAAUUUUACUGGGUUGUUAUACAUUAUCUUAACUCACACGACUUGUACCUGAUGCAAAUGUCUAUAUACAUGACAAAUACAUUCUAAACAUGAAAAUAUGAGUUGCAUUUUACUAAUAUCUCUUGCGACUGGUGCCUGAUGUGAUGUCCAUAUAUCCAAACAUGAAAAUGUUGGUUCCAAAUUACAUAUCAUGAAGAUGGUAGUUAUAUAAUUUUACAUUCAUGUGUUUUGGUGUGAUUGCAAAUCAAGGAUGGUUUUGCUGAGGGGAAAGACCUGGUUGUGCCUGUUAUGUCUGCAAUGGGGGAAGAGCAGAUCUGUGCUCUCAAAGACAUUGGUCCUAAGUAGUUUCAAAUUCAUUUAUUGCAAAUCUUAGAUGGAACCAUAAAAGACUUUGGCAAUACUAAAUGCGGUUUUGAUGUUUUGUUUUGGGUUUGGAUAGAAAAAAGAGAACAACAAUAUAACUAGUUUCUUGUUGUGCUAUGGAUUACUGUUUUGCUUUUCUUUUUCAAUAAUUUUUAUUAUCUUGUCUUUAUUUUUUGUGUUGGUAACAUUUAAAUUCUAGCUUUUAACUGCAUAUUACACUUGCAUUAGUUACCCAAUAUAUAUUAAUGUAGCAAUUUAAGUUUGACAUAUCAUUUAGUACGAGUUAAUACAAUAUACUAGUUUUUAAAAAAAUGAAAUUUUCUAAUAAUUACAGUAUUUUUAUUUUAAUUUAAAUCCCAUGUUAAAUAUAUGUAUCACAAGAAUCAGAUUGGAUAAAAGUAGAAUCAAAUUAAUAUAAAAUUUAAAUACAAAUAAUUUUUUUAAUAAUGAAGAAGUAAAAUCAAAUUGGUAUAAUCUAUAAAUAGAUGAACAUUUGGAAUUUAAUUAGAUAAAACUUUUAUUAAUAUGUAUAUAAAUUUAUUAAUAUAUGUAAAAACAAUUUUUUCGGAAAAUAUUUUCAGGAAAUCUGUCAAACAGCAGAAAAUAUUUUACACAGAUUCAAUCAAACACUAGAAAAUAUUUUCCAGUAAAUCAUUUUACAGAAAAGUAAAACAUUUUCCAGAAAUCAUUUUACGGAAAACAUUUUACUACCAAUCAAACAUUUUAAUAAUUUGAAAUUUUGAAAAUUUUUACCUUUUUUUUUUAUUUUGCAUAAAUCAAGAUGAAAUAACAAUAAAAUUAGUGGUGGAGAGCAAAGAUUUUUAAGCUGUUUUUUUACUCGUUUUUAGGCUUUGUUCUCUUUCUUUUUAAAAAAACAAAAAUUGAUGAAUCAAAAUUCUCUCAUUUUUAAUAUAUUCUUUCAAAUAACACAACAAUUUAAUGUUGUGUCUAUUAAUUACAUAUAUAUGAUUAGUUUACUAGAGAAAUGUAUUUAUGUAUCAAUAAAAUAAAAUACUAUAAGUUUCAAUUUUUAUGUAGUAAACAAUAAAAAAUAUAUAAGAAUAAAUUAGUAAAAUGUGUAAACGUUCAUUGAUUUUGCCUUCUCAAUUUUUAAAAGUUGAAAUUCAACUUUACUUACCGCUGGUUACAUAAAUCGAAAAUUUCUUACAUUUAUAAAGUCUUAUCUAGAGAGUAAUUCACUAUAUGAAUCAAUAAGUACAAUACAUGAUUUAAGUCUCUUUACUAAGGGUGAGUUUGGAUGGGCGGUGCAUUUACCUGCGGUUAGUGUAAAAACAGCGGUGACGGUGAGAUUAGAUACUGUAACGAUACUGUAGCGUGAGACCAAAAGUAAACUAAACGCACCGCACCGCACCCAAUCACCCAUCCAAACCCACCCUAAGACUUUCUCCUUGAAAACUUAGUUGUAAAUUGAACAAGAACAUUUUACUGACAACAGUUCAGCACUAAAAUAGGUCUCAUAUGAACAAGAUAAGUGAUCUCUUGAUCUCAUGCAAAAACUUAAACAAGUCUUUUGUUAAAUAGAUGUUUAAUGGAUUGCGCAAAUACAAUCAAUGUGAAUAUUUAAUUCCUUGAAAAUUGCUUACAGUUAAACUUUCAAUAUAGAAUAAAGUGGUAGAGAUCUUGAUAUGAACAUCCUUUUAAGUUCAAAUCUCUUCUAAUUUGGAAACUUCAAUCACAUUAAAAGUCUUCGUAACAUCUUUGUUUGACUUGAUUUUCCAUAUCUAGCCUUCACUGAAGUAUUAAAAAUUCUCCAAAAAUAUCAACCAAAUAUGAUGAAUUUUAUUGUUCCGUCACUUACAAUUAUAGUUACAUCUCUUACCCAUGUAAUUGACACUAACAAUAUAUUUUUAAGUAAUCUUAAAUUCUAAACCCCAUGUAAUGGCUUGAUUGUAAGAGUGCACACCGUCUUAGAUGUAGCUUGGAUUCGAAUCGAAUCUUACUCUAUUUUCAUAAUUCACCAUAUAAUAAAAUUCCAUAUUAUAAUCAAAUAAUUUAAAUAAAAUAAAGUAACAUAGCCGAUUGUAUCUAAAAUAAAUCAACUUACAAUAGAAUGAACUAUUCACAUUUUAUAAUUUAAAAAAAAAAAAACGCGUGAUCUAAAAUAUAAAUACGAAGAAAAGGGGCUGUGACUUUUCCCCCUAUCAAAUGGAUUCCAUCUCUCAGGGAUUGUGACAAUAAACAUGAAACGUUUCUUGUCAACUUGUCGUGUUUUGUCCGGUAUUGAUUCAUAUAUAUUUUUCAAUAAUUGAUAGCGUUUGUUGUAUGCAGAGAUAGCAUCACAUGCGAGCAAAUAUCAUUGCCGGACCAAAGGAUGUUGAUUGAAAUGGUGGGUGCCUCCACCUUCAUUGAACGUUUAAGCCCCUGUUUCGGUGCCUAAGACGUCUCUAUUUCGGCUUGUUGAGGUGGGAAAGUCUUUUAAAUGUUAUUUUCUGAACAAUCGUGUCGAAAAUAUUAAUUUUAGAGUGUUUAUACUCAAUUUUAGUUUCGAUUUUUUCUCUCCCUACUUUAUAGUAAAAAUCUUAAAGGAUUCAUAAAGUUUAGUGAGAGAACCUAUUCAAUUAAGGAAAUAUUUUUAGCAAUUUAAUCUCAAUAGGAUUCAAACACAUGACCUUUUAUCUUUUAUUGAACUCGGUGGACCUCUUUAAGUUCUCUUAAAAGGGUGCAAAAUAAACACCUAAAAAUAAUAUCUUCACCGGUCGAAGAGACUACAAAGCUCUACAAUAAGGAAAAGUUUUAUUUUUCUUCUAUGCUAGGAGCAAAGCCAGAACAAUAUUUUAGGGGGAAUGAAAUUUUAAUUUUUUAUAAUCUAUUACUUUAUAAUUUUUAAAAGAUUAAAUCGAAUUUUUAUAAUUUUGGGGGGUAAAGUGUAAUUUUACUUUUACUAAUUUAAAAUUUUAAAAUUUUUUAAAUAGCCUAAAUAACAAUUUUCCAUUUUAGGAGGGGUCGGGGCCCUUACCAGCCCCCUAGAUUCGCCUUUACUCUAUGCUAUAAAAAUUUUUUUCUUUAGAUAUUGGUUUCCUUCAUUACUUUAUAUAUUAUUACGAAUUAGUUUAAAAUAAUUUUAAUUAAUUUAAUUAUCAAAAUAUAUUUAAAUUCAAUAAUUGAAAAUACUUAAUAUUUUAUUUAAUUAUUUAAAAUUUAUAUUAAUUUAUUAAUUUUUAUAUUAUAUUAAAAAGAAUAUUUUAAGUAAUAAAUUAAAUAUUGAACAUAUGAUAGAAAAUGAAUUUUUAAAAUGUGAUGUAAAAAUAUUUAAUGCGUAAAAGAUAUAUUAUAAAAAGUUUCGUUGGCUACGUGUUUAUAUUGAUAGUGUUACAAAUAUUUUAUUAUUAUAGAAGUGAAUUUUUUUUUAGGAUAAGAAGUUUGGUAUAUAUCAGGACUCUAAUGUUUAUCAGAAAUAGAAUUUUAUAUUAUUUAUACUUCAUAUAUCCAUAAAUAUAGGCUUCGGAGAAGUAUUGUAAAUAUGCUAUUGAUUAAUUAAAAUAUGCACUUCUUUUUGCUGUGAUAUGUGGUAAGUUGCUCUAUAAUAGUAAAAAAUGAUAGUCAUAAUAAUUAUUCUCACCACUAGAAGUGAAAAAAUGAAGAUAAUAUGAAGACUGAUAAAAAGAUUGAUGUUGAAAUUCAGAUUAAUAGUUUCAUUCUAUAUUGCGACUUUAAUUGUUGUACAUUUAUGGAAUGAUUACGAACUUUGCUUAAUUUUACACAUAUAUCUAUGCAAAGUUUAAAGUGCAUUUAUUUGUAUGGUUAAAUCACAUGCCAUGGUAAACUAGAAGUAUAAUUUAGUAUUGUUGAAUCACAUUCACACUAAACUUUAAAGUUUACUGGUACAAAUAUAUUAAUUAGUUGGCAUGAUCGAUUAGAUCAUCUCAUUCAAUAAUGGCGUGCCAAAAUGAGAAUUUACAUAAAAAUUUUUCAUUUUUCAAGUGUUGCUUCUUCUCAAAUAAUAUGAAUUAUUAAAACAUCAAUAACAAUUGAAAGAAAUAUGUGCCCAUUUAUCCGAAAAUGGAUACUUUAAAAUAAUUUUAGUAAAUGCAUCUUGAAGAAGUAGAAUUAUCAUCGGUCUCUGUGAAUUCAACCCUACUUAAUAAAAUGAAAAAAAUAUGUUUUUAGUUAUUGAAAAUUUAUAAAAAUUUAAAUUAAUGUGAAUAUAUCUUAAUCACAUAUAUAUAUAUAUAUAUAUGUACAUAGAAUAGUUUUCGUCCUCUACUUUUGGUGAUAGUUCUCAGUAAAACAAGGUGGUGGCCGGUAAAAGGAUAAUAGGUAUAUUGGGUGGCUAUGGAUUGAGACAUGUGAACCAUUUGAACCAAGGUAUCUAAGGACCAGAUCUUCUUUUUCUCGCUUAAGGACCUAAGGACCAUAUCUAAGCACCAGUUCAACAACAACGUUUUUUUCCCUUUUAUUAUUCCUUUUUUUUUCUGAAUGUGAAUUUCUGAUCCAUAAUACACUAACCUUCUUUUAUGUUCUAUUGUCCAAAUAAAUAAAGGAAGAAGAUGAUUUUUUUUGUGAGGACCCAAGCCGUUUUACUUUAGUGGUGGUGCCUUCUUCUAAGCUGAUCAAUGUGAAGCCAUUUUCAGACCCACGACUGUUAGAUAACCAAUGUAUGUAUGUCGUAUAUGUACAUGGAUUCCACAAUCUUUAUGGUAUAAUUAUUCUUUAGGCUCUUGUAGAUUUUAAAUUAAAAAGUAAUUUAAUUCAUGUUAAUUUCGAAAGUGAGAAAAUAAAUAUAUUAAUGUUAAUUAUUUCUAUUAAUAGAUGAUUGUAAUAUAUGAUAGCGUGGAAUUGUGGUUGGUUGGUUUUUAAAAAACUAAAAUAAGUUAAUAAAAUAUUCGAUUCAAAAAUUUUCAAAAAGUUAUUUUGAAAAAUUCAGUAAAAUUUUCCAAAAAUUUAAAAAAAUUCAAAAUAAAAAAAUUUUGGAUUUUCCAAAAUUUUAUUAAAAUUUAUGUUCAAUAAAAAUUCAUCAAAAAAAUAUUUUUUACAUUUUAUUGUAAUUAGUAUAAUAUCAAUUUUAAAUUUGAAUAAAAAUCAUAAAAAAAUUUUGUUUAAAUAUAAAAAGUUUAAAUAAAAGAAAUAAUUUUUUAAAUAAAGGAUAUUACAAAAUAAGAAAAAUUUAUAAAUAGUUCAAAUUUCAAACGUUUCAAAAAAAAUUGAAUUUUCAAUUUUUUAUUUCUAUCAAAAAUUUAAUUACUUUAAUAAUUUUUAAUAUCUUUUUUUUUCAAAAACUUUAUUCUUCUUCCUUCUUUUUUUUUGUCAUUUUAUAAAAUUUCUAUAUAUUAAUUUUUUAAUAAAAUUUAAAAAUGAUAUUAUACUAUUUACAUAAAAUUUAUCAAAAAUCUUUCUUACAUGAAAUUUUAAUGAAUAUGAUUUAUUGUCCUUUUAAAUUUUUAAAGAAUAUAAAUUUCAUGUAUUGUUAUGUUCCUCCAUCCUUGAGACACGUGCCAACAAACCAAGCAUCGUUGAUCUCCUAUUGAUCUCGCUUGAGAAAGAGUUUCUCUUAACCACCCACCUUGAAAAGUUUAAUGUUGUAACAAUAAUCACAACGGGCAUCUCUAAUGCCCUAGCCAUUCAAGUUUUUAUGUUUGAAACCACCCAUCAAUUUCUCCCGUUUCACAUCAUUUGCAACCCUCAAAAGAAAUUGUCACAGUUGUAUGAGAUAGUCCAUCGAUCACUUCACGGAGGGUGACUAGAUGGACAUGGAUCAAACUCAACCUUCAAUUUUUGCAACCCAUGUGUCAUAAUUUUCCAAGCAAUCAUCCCCGCCGCACCAAUACCAACCUAUUCCACAUCAAUAUCAACCCCAGCAUGGGACUCAUCCUUAAGUAGGUGAUGAACGGUUCCGGCAGUAUAACCCCCUACAGCAAAGGGGCAGGUAGGUGAUUAAUACUGUAGGAUCCCCUCGUCAAUCAGGACCUAUUGGAUACCUACAAUCUUUGACUUUUCAAAGAUGAAUAGUGACAGAAAGUUGGCACCGAAAGGCACCGAAAGUAGAAAGUAAGAUUGGUUGGCAAGUUGGGUUAAAAGUUGGCAUGGGAUAAUUGCAAUUUUGGUCCCUAAUUGUAUAGGGACAUUGCAAGUUGAUCCUUAAACCUCAACUAUAAAUAGGCCUAACCAUCUCUUACUUUCUUCAUCCCACACUUGCCAUUCUCUACUUAAGGCAAUUGUUCUCUCUCCCUAUUUGUAAACUUUCGCUUGUAUUUUUGGAGUGAAAUAUAUUUGGUAGUGCCCGAGGACGUAGGCAAAAUUUGCUGAACCUCGUUAAAAUUCUAGUGUUCUUUAUUUUUGUUCUGCAUAUUUUGCAAGUGUCAUUGUAGUGAUUUAUUGUGCUAUUAAAUUACGAUAGAGGGAUAUUCUGGCUAGGAAAGAUCUGGUAUGUAAGCGAUCCUCGUGAUCCACCUCUCUUUCCUGGGAAUUGAACUUAGUGUGAUUUUUCAGUACAAUAAUUUUACUCUUUCACACGCUUCCGCGCAACAAUUGGUAUCAGAGCCAGGUUCGUACUUGGGGAAUACGACCGUUUACGGUACUAUUCACGUAUACAACACUAUUUACGUAUACGGUACUAUUUACGUAUACGGUACUGUUCACGUAUACAGUAGUUGGGAUUGAGGAGAAAAAUGGCAGCAGCAUCGUCAUCAGCAAGGACUACUGUGACAAAUGCAAAAUUUGAAGUAGAGAAAUUUGACGGUACCAAUAAUUUUGGUAUGUGGCAGUGUGAGAUCCUGGAUGUCUUAUGUCAGCAAGAGCUGGAUAUAGCCCUUGAAGAAAAACCUGACAAGAUGGAUGACAAGGAGUGGGCCAAGAUCAAUAGACAGGCGUGUGGAACAAUCCGCCUAUGUUUGGCCAAAGAGCAAAAGUACUCCGUCAUGAGGGAGACAUCAGCGAAGAAGCUGUGGGAUACAUUGGAAGAAAAGUUUCUAACGAAAAGUCUUGAAAAUAGGCUUUAUAUGAAAAAGAAACUUUAUCGAUUCACGUAUGCACCCGGUAUGUCGAUGAAUGACCAUGUGAACUCAUUCAAUAAAAUUUUAGCAGACUUGCUAAAUUUGGAUGAGAAAUUUGAAGAUGAAGACAAGGCAUUAUUGUUGUUGAAUUCCCUUCCUGAUGAAUAUGAUCAUCUUACCAUCACAUUGCUUCAUGGGAAGGACACGAUCACAUUUGAUGCAGUCUGUAGUGCGUUGUAUAGAUCUGAGACUCGAAAGAAAGAUAAAAGAGAUCACAGAGAUACAACUGCAGAAGUCUUAACAGUAAGAGGUCGUUCACACAGCAGCAAACCUGGUAGAAGGGGUAAGUCCAAAGGGAGACCCGCCAAAGAUGAAUGUGCCUUUUGUCGUGAGAAAGGGCAUUGGAAAAAGAAUUGUCCUAAGCUACAAAAGGGCAAGGCUAUUUCUAAUGCAUGUGUAGCGGAGCAUGAUGAGGAGUCAGACUUUAGCUUGGUUGGCAUGGCAAUGGCAUGUCAAACGGAUGAGUGGAUUUUGGAUUCAGGAUGUACUUACCAUAUGUGUCCUAAUAAGGACUGGUUUUCUAGUCUUAAAGAGCUAGAAGGUGGAAUUGUUCUUAUGGGCAAUGAUAGUGCUUGUAAGACAAUGGGAGUGGGUACAGUCCAAUUGAAGAAUCACGACGGCUCAAUCCAAGUCUUGACAGAUGUUCGCUACGUACCUAGCUUGAAGAAAAAUCUCAUCUCAUUAGGGGCCCUAGAAUCUAAAGGGCUCACAAUCACUUUGAGAGAUGGAUUACUAAAGGUAGUAGCUGGGGUAUUGACGGUGAUGAAAGGCACUAGAAGAAAUAACUUGUACUAUUUAAAUGGAAGUACAGUUAUUGGAUCAACAUCAACAGCUUCUGCGAAAGAUGCAGAUUCAGAGGCUACCAGGUUAUGGCAUAGGCGAUUGGGACAUGCUGGUGAAAAAGCUUUUCAGACUUUGGCGAAGCAAGGCUUGUUGAAAUGUGCAAAUUCUUGCAAAUUGGAAUUCUGUGAACAUUGUGUUCUGGGCAAGCAGACGAGGGUAAAAUUUGGUUCAGCAAUUCACAAUACGAAAGGAAUUCUGGACUAUGUUCACAGUGAUGUGUGGGGACCUACCAAAGUGGCUUCUUUGGGAGGUAUGCACUAUUUUGUCACUUUUCUUGAUGAUUAUUCAAGAAAAGUAUGGGUGUAUCUAAUGAAAAGAAAAAAUGAAGUUUUGGAUGCAUUUCUGAAGUGGAAGAAGAUGGUGGAGACUCAGACAGGUCGAAAGGUCAAACGACUUCGAUCAGAUAAUGGUACUGAGUACAAAAAUGAUCCAUUUCUACAAGUAUGUCAAGAUGAGGGCAUUGUGCGACACUUCACUGUUCGAGAUACACCACAGCAGAAUGGGGUGGCAGAACGCAUGAAUCGGACUAUACUGGAGAAAGUUCGAUGUAUGUUGUCCAAUGCUGGAUUGGGCAAGAAAUUUUGGGCUGAGGCAGUUACAUAUGCGUGCCAUCUAAUUAACCGAUUGCCAUCAGCUGCAAUAAAUGGAAAAACUCCUAUGGAGAUGUGGACUGGUAAACCUGCUACUGAUUAUGAUUCUUUACAUAUUUUUGGUUCCACUGCAUAUUAUCAUGUAAAAGAAUUUAAGUUAGACCCAAGAGCAAAGAAAGCAUUAUUCAUGGGUAUAACUGGUGGUGUAAAAGGAUACCGUCUCUGGUGUCCUGAUACAAGGAAGAUUGUUUUCAGUAGAGAUGUAACUUUUGAUGAAUCAACCAUGAUGAAGAACGAGGAUUCACAAAAGGAUGACAAAACCA
rnacentral:lncRNA from 1 species